CACGUGCUACAAUGGCAUAUACAAUGAGACGCAUUACCGCGAGGUGGAGCAAAUCUAUAAAAUAUGUCCCAGUUCGGAUUGUUCUCUGCAACUCGAGAGCAUGAAGCCA
rnacentral:rRNA from 1 species